rnacentral:rRNA from 1 species
UACGUAGGGGGCUAGCGUUGUCCGGAUUUAUUGGGUUUAAAGGGUGCGUAGGCGGAUUAUUAAGUCAGUGGUGAAAGCCUUCAGCUUAACUGAAGAACUGCCAUUGAUACUGAUGAUCUUGAGUAUGAUUGAGGUGGGCGGAAUGUGUCAUGUAGCGGUGAAAUGCUUAGAUAUGACACAGAACACCGAUUGCGAAGGCAGCUCACUAAGCCAUAACUGACGCUGAUGCACGAAAGCGUGGGGAGCAAACAGG